rnacentral:rRNA from 1 species
AUUUGACGUUAGCGACAGAAGAAGCACCGGCUAACUCCGUGCCAGCAGCCGCGGUAAUACGGAGGGUGCGAGCGUUAAUCGGAAUACUGGGCGUAAAGCGCAUGCAGGUGGUUUGUUAAGUCAGAUGUGAAAGCCCGGGGCUCAACCUCGGAAUUGCAUUUGAAACUGGCAGACUAGAGUACUGUAGAGGGGGGUAGAAUUUCAGGUGUAGCGGUGAAAUGCGUAGAGAUCUGAAGGAAUACCGGUGGCGAAGGCGGCCCCCUGGACAGAUACUGACACUCAGAUGCGAAAGCGUGGGGAGCAAACAGGAUUAGA